UGAGGAAUAUUGGUCAAUGGGCGAGAGCCUGAACCAGCCAAGUCGCGUGAAGGAAGACAGUCCUAAGGAUUGUAAACUUCUUUUAUACGGGAAUAACGGGCGAUACGAGUAUUGCAUUGAAUGUACCGUAAGAAUAAGCAUCGGCUAACUCCGUGCCAGUAGCCGCGGUAAUACGGAGGAUGCGAGCGCUAUCCGGAUUUAUUGGGUUUAAAGGGUGCGCAGGUUGUUCGGUAAGUCAACGGUGAAGCCUGAGCGCUCAACGUUCAGCCUGCCGUUGAAACUGCCGAGCUUGAGUUAAGUGGCGACAGGCGGAAUUCGUGGUGUAGCGGUGAAAUGCAUAGAUAUCACGAGAAACUCCGAUUGCGAAGGCAGCUUGCCAUACUGAAACUGACACUGAAGCACGAAGGGGUGGGUAUCAAACAGG
rnacentral:rRNA from 1 species